AUGGAGGAGCGGGUCCCACGUGCCACUCCCGACGACGGCAACAACCACCAUCAUAGAUCAAACGAGGAUCAAGAAGAGGAAUUUGACGAUAAUGAUGAUAUUGAUCACGUAAAAAAUGUACCAAAAAACGAUAAAAAUGAUGACAUGCAAAUUGUGUCCUCUACUAGGGAUGAUAAAUCUAAUAUUCAACCUCAUGCAACGUACAUUAUCCAAAUUCCUAAGGACCAAAUAUACCGAGUUCCACCACCGGAGAACGCCGAAAUCGUCGAAAGAUACCGGAAUCCGGUACUAACUGACCAAAGGGGACGACGGCGGUGUGUGUAUUGGUUCUUGUCUAUAUUUUUCGUGGUUGCGUUCCUUGUUAGCGUUAUUGUAUGCGUGAAUCAUUUUACGUUGAGGCCUAAGAACCCUACCUUCUCGGUCAAGCAUCUUGAUAUCAAGCAUCCUGAGCCGUCUUCUAAAAAGAAAGCUUCUACUGACUUAUUCGAGGUUUCAAUGGAAACAACCAACCCAAACAAUAUGAAUGAUAUUAGUUAUGAACAAGGCAGCGCUACACUUACCUACAAAGGAAAGAAGAUAGGAUAUGGCUCAUUUCCUGCGUUAGAAAAUGAACAACCUGGGAAAAUUGAUGCAGUAAAAUUGGUUUUGGCCGAAUCGACGUCGAAAGGAGGUUUGCCUAAAGAGUUACAAUCUCAAUCUCAUAAGAAGAAACCAUUGAAUUUGAACUUGUCCAUGAACAUACCUCUUAAGAAGAAAACUUGGUUAUAUACUCACAAAGUUGAUGUUGAAGUUGGGUGCGAAUUUGAGGUCAAUUCCUUUGGUGAUGAUAUGAAAGUUUUAUCACAAAAAUGUGAUAUUCAGAAAUGAUAUAUAGACCAGUAUUUGAAGUUAGCAUAAUGAUUUCGUUGAGUAUGUACAAUUUGGU